GACUGCUAUGGUGGACAUGUGGUUAAUGCAUCCACCUCGGAAGCAAGAGGUCAUGGGUUCAAACCCCAGCUUAGUCA